CACGAACCGUACGAACGUUAUUCGGAAUUACUGGGCUUAAAGGGUGCGUAGGCGGCUCAGAAAGUUGGGUGUGAAAGCCCUCGGCUUAACCGAGGAACAGCGCUCAAAACUACUGAGCUCGAGGAAGACAGAGGUGAGCGGAACUACGGGUGGAGCGGUGAAAUGCGUUGAUAUCCGUAGGAACACCAGGGGCGAAAGCGGCUCACUGGGUCUUUUCUGACGCUGAUGCACGAAAGCCAGGGGAGCGAACGGGAUUAGAUACCCCGGUAGUCCUGGCCGUAAACUAUGAGCACUGGAUCGAAGGGUACUCCAUAGCCUUUUGGUCGUAGCGAAAGUGUUAAGUGCUCCGCCUGGGGAUUAUGGUCGCAAGGCUGAA
rnacentral:rRNA from 1 species